CAAAAAAAGACAGCUCCCAAAUGCAAUCAUUUCCCGGUAAAUUUCUACCCUUCAGCCCCACUUUCCUCGGCCACCACACCCCCUCCCCUUGACCUCGGUACCCUGGUUUCUUGAGGGAGUAGGGGGUGUGUGUGCAAAAUGUCCAGGAUCAAGGAGGGCUGGAUACAGUGGAGACAGGCACCCAACCUUCCCCAGAGUCUCCAGGCCUCCAGCUGCCAUGCUCCAGUGCAGACAGACAAUCGGAUGGGGGUGGCAUCUUGAAGCUGUAUCACAUGGAGAGGAGGGCUGUUGUGGACCAAGGACAGACGGCAAGAGGAAUUAAUGCCCCCCUCCAGGCUCUUUGGCACCCUGAACUCCAGACCGCUGCCAGCUGGCUCAGGCUUCAGUCUACUGCUCUCUACCCUGUCCACUUCACUUCCUCCAGUAUCCUUCAGCACUGACGGCAGCCUUGUCUCCUCAACUCAGACGAAUCCACUCCAAAUGCCAUGCCAGAAGUCCUUGCGGGACCAGACACCUUCCAAGCCUUGCCCCUACCCACUCUCAGUCUAAAAGGCAGUCGUUGCCAGCUGGGACGGCUGGCAGAUCUGUGAAGUGGCUCACUCACAGUGACAAUCACAGUGACGGACAUGUGGGUGGAUAGAUUGCUCUCUGUGUCAUUAUGGUGACCCUUGUGUCUACCCACCCGGGAGAGCCCUCUCUCAAGUGGGCUACCUUGUCACUCACCCAGCAGGAGCAGAGGCUGCAUCGUGACAUGGAGGCUUGAUUGGCUGUUUACAAAGCCAGAGGGAACAAGGGCUUUUCGUGGAUGCAUGUGGCAGACUGGCUUCCUCAGCGAUCACAUGAAAAUGCCGCUUGAGCUGGAGGACAGCCUGUGUGGCUGGUGCUCUCGUCAAAUACCAAGAGCGCUCUGAUGCUUCACCAAUUACUUGUUCUGGAAGAAGGCUCCCAAGGAAGCCAUUGGGAUAGUCUCCUGGUUGAGGAAGACUGAGGAUUUCAGCUUCACAUUUAGAUUCGAAGACAUGUCAAAGAACCAUUUCAUCCUGUAGGAAACUCCUUAGGAAGACAAACAACUCAAAAUCACUUCAGGAAGUUCCUAAAACUGACCGAAUGCACUAGGUCCCUCCCUGUCCGAGUAAGCAAACUGAGCAGCCCUCUUAGACAAUGGGAAACUCAGUUACAAAGACCCUGAGACCAGACCAGCUACUUGGAAGAAGCAGAAACCAACCAAGCUGCCUGGAAGAGGUUUAGACCAACUGAGACACCUGGGAAGGACAUCUCCAACCCACUGAGCUGCCUGCAGUCUGUACAGUGUGCUCUGGGUUCCCAGCUUAUGAACUGGGGCUGCUUUGUUGAGACAGUUGUCUGAGUCGUCUCUACUCCUGUUUGUGUUCUAUCACUCA